GAACUCAACAACAACAACAAAAUCUGAAAUAGUUACACUGAAAGACCAAGAUGCAUAUCUUAAAUUGGGACUAGAGUUCGAACCAAAAUAGCAACCGAAUUGGGAACAAGCAAUUAAACUAAAUUGGUGCAAAGAGAUUCGAUCAACAAUCAAAAUGAUUCAAUUCAAACAAAGGUACGAGGACAAAAGAUGAAAUUUGAAGAUAAAGAAAAGGGGAGAAAGCGAACCAGUAAGCGGGGAGAGGAUACGUUCAAGCGGCGCACAACAGGGCAAGUGGGAAAGUUGAGGACAACGACACCGGGGCGGUUGGAAAGCCACGCAACGACACCGGAAUGUCCAUGGUAGAGGGACGAACAGCGAACAUGCCUCUCCACCUUCCAUUCGUGCGCGGGAGCUAUGCGGCAGCUUGAGCAGAUCCGUGUCGAGGAAUGAUGUAGCGGCUGCAGCUGAUGAACGGAAGGUAUUCG